CCUACGGGAGGCAGCAGUGAGGAAUAUUGGUCAAUGGGCUUACGCCUGAACCAGCCACGUCGCGUGAGGGAAGACUGCCCUAUGGGUUGUAAACCUCUUUUGUCAGGGAGCAACGCCGGCUACGUGUAGCCGGACUGAGAGUACCUGAAGAAAAAGCAUCGGCUAACACCGUGCCAGCAGCCGCGGUAAUACGGAGGAUGCGAGUGUUAUCCGUAUUUAUGGGGUUUAAAGGGUGCGUAGGCGGAAUGCCAUGUAAGCGGUAAAAUCGCGGGGCUCAACCGCGCUCCGCCGUUGAAACUGGCGGUCUUGAGUGGGCGAGAAGUAUGCGGAAUGCGUGGUGUAGCGGUGAAAUGCAUAGAUAUCACGAAGAACUCCGAUUGCGAAGGCAGCAUACCGGCGCCCAACUGACGCUGAAGCACGAAAGCGUGGGUAUCGAACAGGAUUAGAUACCCGGGUAGUC
rnacentral:rRNA from 1 species